rnacentral:lncRNA from 1 species
UACAAUGCAACUAUGCCAAAGCUGUCAAUGGAAGGAUAUGGCUAAUCUGGAAGCCUCACAUUCAGAUCCAUAUCUCCUGUGUGACUGACCAAUUUAUUCAUUGCUUGUUAGAAGAUCCUUUGAAUAAAGUCAGAAUACAAUUGAGUGUCAUUUAUGCUCACAAUUCUGCAGUCCUAAGGAAACAGCUGUGGAAUGAUCUAAGAUCAGUAAAUGUUCCCAAUCAAGAUGCAUGGCUGUUAAGUGG